UAGUAGUAGCAGAGCCAUUUGUAAGCU
rnacentral:piRNA from 1 species